rnacentral:lncRNA from 10 species
AAUGCAUUUCCCAUAGGAAAAAAAAUGAUUGUAAAUGUUGUUUGGCUUACCAGAUCAAUCCACAAAAGUCAAUUCAAUCCAUAAAGAAUCAAAAUAUGGCAUAUAUAGCAUGAAUAUUUAUGCUAGCUACUGUUAGUGCUCUCGAUAAUCAUGAAUUUCUUUAAUACUCAGUGCAAUCCUAUGGGGAAACAGGUUUAGAGAGUUUGAGUCACUUUCCUAUCUCAGCUAAGAAGCUGAAUACCUGGGAUUUAAACCAAGGUCUUGGGAUCUCAGAGCUGUGUUAUUCACAGCAAAAGAACCCCACUUGCUCAUAAAUUAGGGGGAUGAUGCCUGGUACCUAGGGAAUCCUCAAUGGAUCUCCGCUACCAGCAUUGUCGUCAUUAUGACUAAGUGUACUACUUCAACUCUACUAAAUCAACAUUUAUGAUACCAUUUCCUAAACCUGGGUCUCAACCUGGGAUGCCCCCACAUUUUUCCCUUCCCUGGCUUUGAAGCCCUCCUCAUUGUCAUUUAGCAAGAGAGAAAGGGAAUUCUCCUAAGUAGGUACGAUUGACUCUUUAAUUUUACACAUUUUUGCCUCUACAUAAGAGCAGAUGUGCCAAUCAUUUCCCAUUUGCUCCAAGGGAACAAGGGUGAAAGAGGACUCCCUUUGCAGCAGAGUCUGGGGCAGCCAUAUUUGGGCCUCUUUGUUGCCCAUUCAUGUUUCAGAGCCAGUCAUGCAUCAGAGGAUCAAGGUGACAUGCGUAGACCUGGGUUACAGCCAUGUGCCAAGUGCCCCGGAGGUUUGAAAUAAAACAUUUCCCCAUCCAUCUGCAUCAUCAGUAAUAUUUUAGUAGCCACGUAAGCUACAAAGUUUGCUGAGAACAAAGAACCCUCCGGGUCAUCUAUAGCUGAAAUUGACAAAUUGAAAUAGACAAAGAUGUAAGUGAAUAUUUUUGUUCCUCCUUCAUUCUUAUCUCCCUGCUCUUGACUUCAGCCAUUUUCCAGUUUCAUAGUGGUCCAUAUUUUUAAACACAUCCCUUGCACCGUCUCUCUGGAUAUCAAAAACCUCAUUCCCCUGGGACCAUUUUCAUACAUCAAGAAACCACUUCAUAGUAAGGUACAGAUACUUCAUUAAACAUGAGGUGUUCUCCCCCGCUGCUCAAUGUCCCCCUUUUGUAUCCAUCUUGAAAGAGAUCACCUGUCACCCAGAAGCGAUUCUCUCCUGGUGUAAUUUGGGCAACAGGACAGGCCACCAGAGGAGAUGUUAUAGUGCGGAGUUCUUGCUAACAUCUUUCUGACAAUAGCAUCUGAUUUGCCUAUGCCUAAAUUCAAUCCUCCUCUUAUAGGUAGUUAAUUAAAUUAUAAACUAAAAUGCUUGUGGACCAGUACCUAUUAUUGCAUAAGAAACAUCCCCGAAUUCAAUGGAUUAAAACGAUGUAUUAUCAUGUCUCAUAGUUGGACUUGUUUAAGCUCAUCUGGGUGGUCCUCACUUGGGGUCAUUCAUGAAGUCGUAGUCAGACUGCUGCUGGGCCUGGAGUCAUCUAAAGACUUCCGGUCUUAGUCUAUUUGUGUUGCUGUACAAGAAUACCUGAGGCUGAGUAAUUUGUAAAGAAUAGAGGUUUAGCCGGGCGCUGUGGCUUACGCCUGUAAUCCCAGCACUUUGGGAGGCUGAGGUAGCCAGAUCACAAGGUCAAGAGUUCGAGACCAGCCUGGCCAACAUGGUGAAACCCCGUCUCUACUAAAAAUGCAAAAAUUAGCCAGGCGUGGUGGCGGGCACCUGUAAUCCCGACUACUUGGGAGUCUGAGGCAGGAGAAUCACUUGAACCCAGGAAGUGGGGGUUGCAGUGAGCUGAGACCAUGCCAUUGCACUCCAGCCUGGGCAACAGAGUGAGACUCUGUCUCCAAAAAAAAAAAAAAAACGAUACAGGUUUAUCUGGCUCAUGGUUCUGCAGACUGAGCAAGAAACAAGAAACACAAUGCCGGCAUCUGCUCCUGGUGAGGGGCUCCAGCUGCUUCCACUUAUGGUAGAGGGGAAGAGAAGCCAGCAUGUGCAGAGAUGGCAAGAGAGGAAGUAAGGAAGAAGGCAGGGAGGUUCCAGGCUCUUUUUAACAGCCAGCUCUAGUGGGAACUAAUAGAGUGAGAACUCCCUCAUUACCACGAGGAUGACACCAAACUAUUCAUGAAGAAUCUGCCCCCAUGACCCAAAUACCUUCUAUCAGGCCCCACCUCCAACAGUGGGAAUUAAUUUCAGCAUGAGAUUUGGAGAGGACACAUAUCCAAACUAUAGCACUUCAUUCACUUGUCUGGUGCCUGGGCGGGGAUAGAAGGAAUAGUAGUGUCUGGUCUAGAAUCCUAUCUAUCUAUCUAUCUAUCUAUCUAUCUAUCUAUCUAUCUAUCUAUCUAUGUACCUACCUACCUAUCUAUCUUCCUCUCCACUCUAUGCAGCCUCUCCAUGUGGUUAGCACAGGCUUCCUCACAGUAUAGCAACUCAUGUCAGCCUGGCCAACAUGGUGAAACUUCAUCUCUACUAAAAAUACAAAAAUUAGCUGGGUGUGGUGGUGCACACGGGUAGUCCCAGCUACUCAAGAGGCUGAGGCAGGAGAAUCGCUUGAAUCUGAGAGGUGGAGGUUGCAGUGAGCCGAGAUCAUGCCACUGUACCCCAGCCUGGGUGACAGAGCAAGACUCCAUCUCAAAAAAAAAAAAAAAAAAAAAAAAGAAAGAAAAAAAGGAAAAUUAUUUUCACAUUUACUGAGAAUCUGCCACACGCUGACCUCUAGUUCUAGUUCUUGGAACUACAAAGAACACUCCUCCUACCUAUCCACGUGAUGACCUUUCAUAUUUUUAAAGACAGCCCCCGACCAGUACAGUGGCUCACGCCUGUAACCCCAGCACUUUGGGAGGCCGAGGUGGGAGGAUUGCUUGAGCCCAGGAGUUCAAGACCAGCCUGGCAAAACCAGGUUGGCGUCGUGGCACAUGCCUGUAGUCCCAGCUAUUUGGGAGGUUGAAACGGGAAGAUCGCCUGAGCCCAGGAGGUCGAGGUUGCAGUGGGCCAUGAUGGUGCCACUGCACUCUAGCCUGAGUGACAGAGCGAGACCCUGUCUCAAAAAAAAAAAAAAAAAAAAAAAUAGACAGCUCUCCUCACUCUCCUGACUCUUCUUUUCUCCAGGCUGCACAUCCGCAAUUUCUUCAUCCAUCUCAGGCAACAUUGUCUCUCCUCUGAACAAACUCCACUUUAUUCAUGUCCCUCUCGCAGCCUCAUUCCACGUGCAAAACAGGAAACCAAUCAGCCAGAGGGAAAUAGACCUCUUCCCACCCCCCAUUCCAGUUAUCUUUAUUCUAACAAUUACUGCAGUUAUAACAAAAUAAUUGUCUUUCGGCCCGGCGCGGUGGCUCAUGCCUGUAAUCCCAGCACUUUGGGAGGCCGAGGCGGGCAGAUUACCUGAGGUCAGGAGUUCGAGACCAGCAUGACCAGCAUGGUGAAACCCCGUCUCCACUAAAAAUACAAAAAUUAGCUGGGCGUGGUGGCAGGCACCUGUAAUCCCAGCUACUUGGGAGGUUGAGGCAGGAGAAUCGCUUGAACCUGGGAGGCAGAGGUUGCAGUGAGCUGAGAUCGCGCCAUUGCACCCCAGCCUCGGUGACAAGAGCGAGUCUUCAUCUAAAAAAUAAAUAAUUGUCUUUCUUGUGCUUUCUUGUACAUUACCAUCCCGCUAUCCAAUGGAAGCAUCAUGUGUCUCUGAGGGGGGAUUAGGAUUGUGAUUUGGAUUCAUGCAAAGAGAACGAAAGAGUCACUGUGCAACUUCUGACGUCCAGUUUCAGAUGUUUUAGCCCACAGUAAAUAACGAUCUUGGAAUGUGCACUUUGUGUGAGAGAAGAGUGUCUUGUAGAUUCCAGAACACCAAGCAUGUUGGAUUCAGAGCAUGAGGUUUUCUUGAAGCCAGUGUGGAGAGGACAGAAAAAAUGAGGGAGGAGACAUUCUCAGCAGUCAGGAAGAGAAAGGCUGCCCCAAUAGAGGAGAAGGAAAGAGAAAGGAGAACCAGUGAAUAGUGGACACACCUCCUGGGAUUAGAAACAGCCAGAUGAGGGUGGAGAAAUGCCAGGCCUCACUGCUCAUCCUUGCUGCUCAGGCACGGACCAGGGCAUUGCAAGCCCUGUUGGAGACACUCCAUGUUCUAUGUGGCAUGACUUGGGCAGAAGGUUAAAUAUGAUCACAGAAGAUACCCAGGUGAGUGGACCAGGGGCUGCUUAUGGAGCCACAUGCUUUUAUGACAAAAGCACCUGGGCAGCCCAAGAGAACUUGCAGAACACAGCAUAGGAAAGGUGGGCUCUCAUAACCAAAUCCUGUGGCAGGGAUCACAGACUUCAGUGGCAGGUGAUAGCACAGUAUCCAAAGUACCCAGAUGGCACCAGCUGCUCUCUGGAGCACCUAAUACUGGAAUCGCAGGGGCCAGGGGAAGCCAGUGAUCCUGAACGGAAACCAGCAAAAAGGCAGAGGACAGUAGAGAGACCACCUUCCCCCAGUGCCAGGAGGGCAGGUGGGCUUCCUUCUACCAAGACACAUUCCAGGAAGAGAAAACGGGAGCAGGAAAUACAGUGAAAAACUUAACACCCAAAGCAGACUGAGCUCACCCCAAAGAGCCCGCUCUAAUCCAGGAGAGUCUGAGCCACCUCUAACAGGGAGGGUGUAGGUUUUAUCCGUCUCUGCCAUCAGUGGACUGCAGCCUUCCUAAGCCAGAAAAGGACAUUUGAAGAAAGCUACAUUUUCUUUACACAUCUCGAUUUGGUUUGGAUGUGUGUCUCCUCCAAAUCUCAUGUUGAAAUGUGAUCCCCAAUGUUGGAGGUGGGGCCUGGUGGGAGGUGUUUUGGUCAUGGGGGCAAAUUCCUCAUGAAUGCCUUGGUGCCCUCCCCAUGGUAAUGAGUGAGUUGUCACUCUGAGUUCACCUGACUUCCGGUUGUUUAAAGAGCCUGGCACCUCCUCCUCUCUCUCUCUCUCGCUCCCUUUCUCACGAUGCAAUGUGCCUGAUCCCCCUUCACCUUUUGCCAUGAGUGGAAGCUUCCUGAGGCCUCCCCAGAAGCAGAUGUCAUCACCAUGCUUCCUGUACAGUCUGCAGAAAUGUGAGCCAAUUAAACCUCUUUUCCUUAUAAAUUACCCAGUCUCUGGUCAGGCAUGGUGGUUCAUGCUUGUAAUCCCAGCACGUUGGGAGGCUGAGGCAGGAGGAUCACUUGAACCCAGGAAUUUGAGACUUGGGCAACAUGGCGAAACCUUGUCUCUACAAAAAAUUAGCCAGGCAUAGUGCUGUGCACCUGUAGCCCCAGCUACUCAAGAGGCUGAAGUGGGAGGAUCACCUGAGCCUGGGAGGUCUAGGCUGCACCGAGCUGUGAUCGCACCACUGCACUCAAGCCUGGGUGACAGAGUGAGACCCUGUCUCAAUCAAUGAGUCAAUGAAUCAAUCAGUAACCCAGCCUCAGGUAUUUCUUUAUAGCAACACAAAAAUGGACUGACACGCAUCUCAAUUGCAGAGUGUAAACAUCCCAUCCACUACAGAGCCCAAGACUCAGCUGUGCAAAUUGUCACUUAUGGAAACUUCUAUGAGCAGAUCCAAGCAAAUCUAUCUUGAGCUGAACUUUUCCCAGUCCGCCAAAGAUCAAAACAGUCAUAGAAUGCCCUCUCCCAUAUACUGGAGAUCCCAUGAGAUUACCCAAGUAAGCCAACAGGAAGCCGAAAAUGUGUGUUCUCACUUCUAUGCAGAUUGAUCACUGUAUUCGCAAACCCCACCAUCAUUACUCUCACUAGACAAUGGCACAAGAACUCGGCAGAACCCAUCAGGAUCACGUUGUGGGGACCAGCAUUUUAACUGGGUCUUGGCUUUGGGAAGGCUCUCAGGGAGAGGGUGUAGAAUGUGGGGAAGGACUAGAGGGGCUUGGGGAUUGUGGGGUUGGGAUACAGUGGAAAGAUGUGGUUGACAGCCUGGGUUUGGGUCCCAAAUUGCUAAAUGCAAAACCUUGGUUAAUUUACUUUAUCUUCCCAAGCUUCUCAAUUUUUCUUAUCUGUACAAUAUUUCAUCAUCAUUAUUGCUGUUCAAACCACCAGACAUGUUCGACUGAACAGCAAGGGAAGCUUUGAAAUGGAAACUAAUAUUAGCAACAAAGAUUUCUAUGGGAGUCUUACUAUUUGCAAAAUGUUUCCACGUAUAUUUUUUUCCUUAAAGCAUUUUAGGCAGUGAUUUUUCAAACUCUGCUCACUGAAUCCCCAAAGUCCCUGGAGCCUCCCCGCGGGAGAGAGGACCAAGGUAGGGAAGGUGCUGGGAUGUGCUGGACUCCCAUCUCUCAUUUUGAUUUUAAUCUGAAUGAUGGUAUGAGUUUCACUGGUUUCACGUGCUCUUUUUUCAUAGAAUGGAUUCCCGGCUUAAGACAAAAGAAGUUGGAAACUCACUGAUUCCAAGAAAGUGGUGCAAGAAGGAAGGUGGUGACUGUUGUGGGCAUGACAGCCUCCCCUCUUGCUCAGAAUGGUUCACCCAUCCUGCUCUUUCUUUCCCAGCUGCUUCUUGACUCCCUGGGUCACAGCUCAGCUACUAGAAACAAUGUCCCAUCCACCCCCUCCAAAGCCCAGAGUCCAGGGUCCUCACCCUAGUUCACCAAAACCCCAGACCCGCCCUCACUCGUGAUGCUUAAGUCCUGUCAUGACUCAGACAGGCAUUGGAGAGAUGAUAAAAUUCACAGUCCGAGGACAUUCCGGAGACUUGCUGCCUUACUUCCAAAGGGCAAUGAUUGUCAUUAUGCUAACUGCUUUCCUGGUCAAAAAACAUGUGUUUUUAUUAUUAUUAUUAUUAUUA